rnacentral:rRNA from 1 species
UGGAAAGAUGAAUCAAAGAAGGUAAUAAUCCUGUAGUCGAAAAUGUUGUCUCUCUUGAGUGGAUCCUGAGUACGACGGAGCACGUGAAAUUCCGUCGGAAUCUGGGAGGACCAUCUCCUAAGGCUAAAUACUCUCUAGUGACCGAUAGUGAACCAGUACCGUGAGGGAAAGGUGAAAAGCACCCCGGAAGGGGAGUGAAAUAGAACCUGAAACCGUGUGCUUACAAGUAGUCAGAGCCCGUUAAUGGGUGAUGGCGUGCCUUUUGUAGAAUGAACCGGCGAGUUACGAUUUGAUGCAAGGUUAAGCAGUAAAUGUGGAGCCGUAGCGAAAGCGAGUCUGAAUAGGGCGUUUAGUAUUUGGUCGUAGACCCGAAACCAGGUGAUCUACCCUUGGUCAGGUUGAAGUUCAGGUAACACUGAAUGGAGGACCGAACCGACUUACGUUGAAAAGUGAGCGGAUGAACUGAGGGUAGCGGAGAAAUUCCAAUCGAACCUGGAGAUAGCUGGUUCUCUCCGAAAUAGCUUUAGGGCUAGCCUCAAGUGAUGAUUAUUGGAGGUAGAGCACUGUUUGGACGAGGGGCCCCUCUCGGGUUACCGAAUUCAGACAAACUCCGAAUGCCAAUUAAUUUAACUUGGGAGUCAGAACAUGGGUGAUAAGGUCCGUGUUCGAAAGGGAAACAGCCCAGACCACCAGCUAAGGUCCCAAAAUAUAUGUUAAGUGGAAAAGGAUGUGGCGUUGCCCAGACAACUAGGAUGUUGGCUUAGAAGCAGCCAUCAUUUAAAGAGUGCGUAAUAGCUCACUAGUCGAGUGACACUGCGCCGAAAAUGUACCGGGGCUAAACAUAUUACCGAAGCUGUGGAUUGUCCUUUGGACAAUGGUAGGAGAGCGUUCUAAGGGCGUUGAAGCAUGAUCGUAAGGACAUGUGGAGCGCUUAGAAGUGAGAAUGCCGGUGUGAGUAGCGAAAGACGGGUGAGAAUCCCGUCCACCGAUUGACUAAGGUUUCCAGAGGAAGGCUCGUCCGCUCUGGGUUAGUCGGGUCCUAAGCUGAGGCCGACAGGCGUAGGCGAUGGAUAACAGGUUGAUAUUCCUGUACCACCUAUAAUCGUUUUAAUCGAUGGGGGGACGCAGUAGGAUAGGCGAAGCGUGCGAUUGGAUUGCACGUCUAAGCAGUAAGGCUGAGUAUUAGGCAAAUCCGGUACUCGUUAAGGCUGAGCUGUGAUGGGGAGAAGACAUUGUGUCUUCGAGUCGUUGAUUUCACACUGCCGAGAAAAGCCUCUAGAUAGAAAAUAGGUGCCCGUACCGCAAACCGACACAGGUAGUCAAGAUGAGAAUUCUAAGGUGAGCGAGCGAACUCUCGUUAAGGAACUCGGCAAAAUGACCCCGUAACUUCGGGAGAAGGGGUGCUCUUUAGGGUUAACGCCCAGAAGAGCCGCAGUGAAUAGGCCCAAGCGACUGUUUAUCAAAAACACAGGUCUCUGCUAAACCGUAAGGUGAUGUAUAGGGGCUGACGCCUGCCCGGUGCUGGAAGGUUAAGAGGAGUGGUUAGCUUCUGCGAAGCUACGAAUCGAAGCCCCAGUAAACGGCGGCCGUAACUAUAACGGUCCUAAGG